rnacentral:lncRNA from 1 species
CAACUGUUGGAUAGUAGGAAGUGGCAACGUAUCUAAUGGUUGGUUUUGAAACCGUGUGGGGGAAAUCAAAGCUUUAUUUGAAAAAGCAUCUUGGGCAGUGGGAUGAGCAAUAUUCAAGGGAUUCUCAGAAAUUUGUGCUGUCUCAUUAAAAGCCUCAUUAAAAGCUGUGGGCCCUUUUGACCGUUUGAGAGGGAAAGUUGGUGGGUUUUCUUGCAACUUUAAUGGAUUAGAUUUGUUGAUGCAAUCCAACAGUGGAGAAAAUUCCACUUGCCCAUUAGAAAGUACAAUGGGAGAUCUAAUAACAUCACAAAUCUUAUCUUUAUCACUUUCUCUCAACCGAAUGCCUUUCUUCUCCAUCACUACCUUUCAAACCGAUUUUGCAUAACCCACCAUCAAUAUUAUCAUUUAAGCCAACUUUUUCCUCAUUAUGUGAGAUUUGGACGUUUUCCAUCUUAGAAGAUUUCACACACGAGGAGAUAUGAGGAAGACCCAAAUCCUUGUUUCUAGAGUGCACGUUGUGGAGGUUAUACUGCCUUUGCGGUCCCUGAAUCGACUUUUCUUUUUUUACACCCUCUUGACGGUCUGAAAAUGCAUCCGAAUCCAAGGAUGUCAUAUGUUUUGGAAAUGGCUCAAAGUGACUUU